GGACGAGAAGCUUGCUUCUCUGAUGUUAGCGGCGGACGGGUGAGUAACACGUGGAUAACCUACCUAUAAGACUGGGAUAACUUCGGGAAACCGGAGCUAAUACCGGAUAAUAUUUUGAACCGCAUGGUUCAAAAGUGAAAGACGGUCUUGCUGUCACUUAUAGAUGGAUCCGCGCUGCAUUAGCUAGUUGGUAAGGUAACGGCUUACCAAGGCAACGAUGCAUAGCCGACCUGAGAGGGUGAUCGGCCACACUGGAACUGAGACACGGUCCAGACUCCUACGGGAGGCAGCAGUAGGGAAUCUUCCGCAAUGGGCGAAAGCCUGACGGAGCAACGCCGCGUGAGUGAUGAAGGUCUUCGGAUCGUAAAACUCUGUUAUUAGGGAAGAACAUAUGUGUAAGUAACUGUGCACAUCUUGACGGUACCUAAUCAGAAAGCCACGGCUAACUACGUGCCAGCAGCCGCGGUAAUACGUAGGUGGCAAGCGUUAUCCGGAAUUAUUGGGCGUAAAGCGCGCGUAGGCGGUUUUUUAAGUCUGAUGUGAAAGCCCACGGCUCAACCGUGGAGGGUCAUUGGAAACUGGAAAACUUGAGUGCAGAAGAGGAAAGUGGAAUUCCAUGUGUAGCGGUGAAAUGCGCAGAGAUAUGGAGGAACACCAGUGGCGAAGGCGACUUUCUGGCCUGUAACUGACGCUGAUGUG
rnacentral:rRNA from 1 species